rnacentral:rRNA from 1 species
AAUAGAUACCCGGGUAGUCCACGCCGUAAACGUUGGGCACUAGGUGUGGGUCUCAACCAACGAGAUCCGCGCCGUCGCUAACGCAUUAAGUGCCCCGCCUGGGGAGUACGGCCGCAAGGCUAAAACUCAAAGAAAUUGACGGGGGCCCGCACAAGCGGCGGAGCAUGCGGAUUAAUUCGAUGCAACGCGAAGAACCUUACCAAGGCUUGACAUACACCGGAAACUUCCAGAGAUGGUUGCCCCGCAAGGUCGGUGUACAGGUGGUGCAUGGUUGUCGUCAGCUCGUGUCGUGAGAUGUUGGGUUAAGUCCCGCAACGAGCGCAACCCUCGUCCUAUGUUGCCAGCGGGUCAUGCCGGGGACUCAUAGGAGACUGCCGGGGUCAACUCGGAGGAAGGUGGGGAUGACGUCAAAUCAUCAUGCCCCUUAUGUCUUGGGCUUCACGCAUGCUACAAUGGCCGGUACAAAGGGCUGCAAUACCGCGAGGUGGAGCGAAUCCCGAAAAAGCCGGUCUCAGUUCGGAUUGGGGUCUGCAACUCGACCCC